CAGUAGCCGCGGUAAUACGUAGGGUGCAAGCGUUAAUCGGAAUUACUGGGCGUAAAGCGUGCGCAGGCGGUUUGUUAAGACAGAUGUGAAAUCCCCGGGCUCAACCUGGGAACUGCAUUUGUGACUGGCAAGCUAGAGUAUGGCAGAGGGGGGUGGAAUUCCGCGUGUAGCAGUGAAAUGCGUAGAUAUGCGGAGGAACACCGAUGGCGAAGGCAGCCCCCUGGGCCAAUACUGACGCUCAUGCACGAAAGCGUGGGGAGCAAACAGGAUUAGAUACCCCUGUAGUCCCUGUCUCUUAUAC
rnacentral:rRNA from 1 species